rnacentral:rRNA from 1 species
CCUACGGGGGGCUGCAGUGGGGAAUAUUGGGCAAUGGGCGCAAGCCUGACCCAGCAACGCCGCGUGAGGGAAGAAGGCUUUCGGGUUGUAAACUUCUUUUCUCAGGGACGAAGCAAGUGACGGUACCUGAGGAAUAAGCCACGGCUAACUACGUGCCAUCAGCCGCGGUAAUACGUAGGUGGCAAGCGUUAUCCGGAUUUACUGGGUGUAAAGGGCGUGUAGGCGGGACUGCAAGUCAGAUGUGAAAACCACGGGCUCAACCUGUGGCCUGCAUUUGAAACUGUAGUUAUUUAGUACUGAGAGGCAGACGGAAUUCCUGGUGUAGCGGUGAAAUGCGUAGAUAUUAGGAGGAACACCAGUGGCGAAGGCGGUCUGCUGGACAGCAACUGACGCUGAGGCGCGAAAGCGUGGGGAGCAAACAGGAUUAGAUACCCUGGUAGUC